UACGAAGGGGGCUAGCGUUGUUCGGAAUCACUGGGCGUAAAGGGCGCGUAGGCGGCUUUAUAAGUCGGGGGUGAAAGCCUGUGGCUCAACCACAGAAUUGCCUUCGAUACUGUAGAGCUUGAGACCGGAAGAGGUAAGUGGAACUGCGAGUGUAGAGGUGAAAUUCGUAGAUAUUCGCAAGAACACCGGUGGCGAAGGCGGCAUCCUGGACCGGUAUUGACGCUGAGGCGCGAAAGCCAGGGGAGCAAACGGG
rnacentral:rRNA from 1 species